GUUGCCCCAAUUGUGGGGUUACACUCACGUGUUAAUAGCCUUGUUCUUUGGCCGAACUUGGUGGUUAGUGAAUC
ncrna:unclassified sequences L13-Bacteroidia ribosomal protein leader